GCUUUAACCGAUGGAAGUCCCAUGAAAUGAAGCUUUAGGAUUUCUGUGGUAAUGAUGCUGAAGGAAAAAAAAAAGCAGUGGGGGGGCUCCAAGCAGGAAUAGAGGCAGUACAGAGAGACCAGAGAACUGCUUCUGCAGUUACUGAAAUGAAUGGAGUAAAGCAAAACCAAAUAAAUAACUCUGAGGGGCUGAGGCUUUCCUGUCCCCGGGUGUUCCUCCAGGCAAAGCGCCAGAGGAAGAGGAGCAGCAUGGAGAGACUUCCAAAGAUAUGAGACAUGAGGCACAGUGACAGAAUCAUGAAAUGUUGUGAGCACCAUAAGCAAAGCAGGAUGGCCAUGGCUGAAGUCUCAGUGAAUUUCUCAUGUGUGGGACUCCUGUGUUACUGCAGCCCUGGAAAAUCCCCUUCUGCCAGUGUGCAUCCUUUCUACAUCACCACAGACUGCCCAGCAUGUUCCCCAGACCUCCAUCUAUUGAGAUGACCUGGCACAGCUAAAAGCCCUUAGCACACAAAAGCCGAGCCUUGGGAUCUGCGCUCCUUCAAAGAAUGCAAUACAUUAAGAGAAACCAGGAAUGUGCGCUAGGCCUGGGGAUGCUGCUUUGAAGAAAGAUUUCCUUCAAAACAGAGAUUCAAUUCACAGCAAGGGAGGCACC
rnacentral:lncRNA from 1 species